rnacentral:lncRNA from 1 species
GCGGUGCAGUGGCAGGGAUUAGUUUAUAGAGCAAUAGAUAGAAGCAUAGAGGGGAUCAAAUAUCUAUGGACAAGCUACGAAACAAUUCCUCUUGUUAUGUACUUUCCAAGGCAUGCAGCAUUGCGAAGACCCGUGAUUCUCUGCUGUCCCAUUCCUCAAUCCUUCCAUCAUACUGUUUUGUUUAUUUAUUUGCAUGGCAUUGUUGCUUGAUAU